rnacentral:rRNA from 1 species
GUGCCAGCAGCCGCGGUAAUACGUAGGUGGCAAGCGUUAUCCGGAAUUAUUGGGCGUAAAGCGCGCGUAGGCGGUCUUUUAAGUCUGAUGUGAAAGCCCACGGCUCAACCGUGGAGGGUCAUUGGAAACUGGAAAACUUGAGUGCAGAAGAGGAAAGUGGAAUUCCAUGUGUAGCGGUGAAAUGCGCAGAGAUAUGGAGGAACACCAGUGGCGAAGGCGACUUUCUGGUCUGUAACUGACGCUGAUGUGCGAAAGCGUGGGGAUCAAACAG